rnacentral:RNase_P_RNA from 1 species
ACGUUCGGGUAAUCGCUGCAAGGAUCGUAAGUGAAUUGUAGAGGAAAGUCCAUGCUCGCACGGUCUGAGAUGUCCGUAGUGUUCGUGCCUAGCCAAUUCAUAAGCUAGGGCAGCUAGGUUUUUACUUGGCUGACGGCAGGGAAAAUGCCUAAGUCGAUUUCGAUAUGGCAUGAAUACCUUGAAAGUGCCACAGUGACGGAGCCCAUUUAGAAAUGAAUGGGGUGGAACGAGGUAAACCCCACGAGCGAGAAACCCAAAUUAUGGUAGGGGCACCUUCUCUUAGGAAAUGAACGAGGAGAAGGACAGGUUCAGUUGAAUCUGUAGAUAGAUGAUUGCCACCUGAGUACGAGACGUUCAGUCGAUUGUAGUACAAAGGAACAAAACAUGGCUUAUAGAA